GACGAACGCUGGCGGCGUGCUUAACACAUGCAAGUCGAACGGAAAGGCCCUGCUUUUGUGGGGUGCUCGAGUGGCGAACGGGUGAGUAACACGUGAGUAACCUGCCCUUGACUUUGGGGUAACUUCAGGAAACUGGGGCUAAUACCGGAUAGGAGCUCCUGCUGCAUGGUGGGGGUUGGAAAGUUUCGGCGGUUGGGGAUGGACUCGCGGCUUAUCAGCUUGUUGGUGGGGUAGUGGCUUACCAAGGCUUUGACGGGUAGCCGGCCUGAGAGGGUGACCGGCCACAUUGGGACUGAGAUACGGCCCAGACUCCUACGGGAGGCAGCAGUGGGGAAUAUUGCACAAUGGGCGGAAGCCUGAUGCAGCAACGCCGCGUGCGGGAUGACGGCCUUCGGGUUGUAAACCGCUUUCGCCUGUGACGAAGCGCGAGUGACGGUAAUGGGUAAAGAAGCACCGGCUAACUACGUG
rnacentral:rRNA from 1 species